rnacentral:rRNA from 1 species
AAGGGCACCACAAGAACGCGUGGCGCAUGUGGCUUAAUUUGACUCAACCCGGGAAAUCUUACCAGGCUCCAGACAUAUUGAGGAUUGACAGGCGAUAGUAUAUAAAAUAUAUUUUUAUAUGCAUAAAAAUGAUAGUCCUUUCAUGAUUAUAUGAUAGGUGGUGCAUGGCCGUUCUUAGUUCGUGGAGUGAUUUGUCUGCUUAAUUGCGUUUCAGUAAAUAAAAUAUAUAAUAUAUUAUAAUAUUUAGUUCUGCCAUUUAUUUAUGGAUUUAAAGUGAACAUAUUAUAUAUAUUAUUAUAUAAUAAAUGAAUGCAACGAACGUGACCGUAACCUUUUUAUUGCUAUUGAAAAUUAUAAUUAUAGCAUAAAAUUAAAGGAACCGCUGUCAUUACUAAAUAUGUGUUAAAAUAGAGUAAGAUUAUGGCAAUAACAGGUCUGUGAUGCCCUCAGAUGUUCUGGGCUGCACACGUGCUACAAUAAUUACAUUAAUAAGUAUAUAUACUUUAUAAUAUAUAAUAUUAUAUUACAACCUAUUUCGAAAGUAAAUCGGUAAUCAUUUAAAAAUCGUGAUUAAUUAAUAUAAAUAUAAUUAAUUUAAGGUGGGGAUAGUGUAUUGUUAAUUAUUACACUUGGCCUUAACUAGGAAUGCCUUGUACUCUUCUUUGGUUUAACAUACCAAGAGGAAUACGUCCCUGCCCUUUGUACACACCGCCCGUCGCUCUUACCGAUGAAUUAUAUUAUAAAUCUAAGGGAUUUAUUAUAAUUAAAAUAUAAAAAACUUAUAUACAUAAUGUGAUUUAAAGGAAGAGAAGUCGAACAAGGCA